CCCCCUCCCGCCGAGGGCCGAGGGAAGAGCAGCUCGACUUGGGGUGCCCCGAAGAGCGCUGGGCACCGCCCCGGGCAGCCCCGCGUUAGGAGUGCCAGGUGCCAAAUAUUUGCAUAAAAGGAUGCUCUUCAUUUUAGUGCUUCACACAUCAUCAUAUAUAGAAGUCAAAGAAUGGUUGGAAAUACAACAGUCUAUAGGCGAACAACUGGCCUCUGUAACAGUGAAAAUACAAAUAACCCACUUGUACAAGAAAUCUUGGCAGAAUCCAAAAGCAUGUGCAGGUGCUGACACUACUAAGAAAAAACUGUGGAUGGAUGCAUGCUGCUAACCACUGAAAAUGCCAGAGGAUGGUAUAAGUAAAACACAUUAUAAAUGGAUUAUGGCCAGGGACCUUUAAAG